AGGGUGCGUAGGUGGCUGUAUAAGUCAGUAGUGAAAUCUCGGAGCUCAACUCCGAACGUGCUAUUGAAACUGUACAGCUUGAAUUCAGACGAGGCAGGCGGAAUGUGUAAUGUAGCGGUGAAAUGCAUAGAUAUUACACAGAACACCGGUAGCGAAGGCAGCUUGCCAGACUGCGAUUGACACUAAUGCACGAAAGCGUGGGUAGCGAACAGGAUUAGAUACCCUGGUAGUCCACGCAGUAAACGAUGAUUACUGGUUGUAGGCGAUACAUAGUCUGUGACUGAGCGAAAGUAUUAAGUAAUCCACCUGGGGAGUACGUUCGCAAGAAUGAAACUCAAAGGAAUUGACGGGGGCCCGCACAAGCGGAGGAACAUGUGGUUUAAUUCGAUGAUACGCGAGGAACCUUACCUGGACUUAAAUGUAGAUUGCAUAGACUAGAGAUAGUCUUUUUCUUCGGAACUAUUUACAAGGUGCUGCAUGGUUGUCGUCAGCUCGUGCCGUGAGGUGUCGGGUUAAGUCCCAUAACGAGCGCAACCCCUAUCGUUAGUUGCUAACAGGUUAAGCUGAGGACUCUAGCGAGACUGCCACCGUAAGGUGCGAGGAAGGUGGGGAUGACGUCAAAUCAGCACGGCCCUUACGUCCAGGGCUACACACGUGUUACAAUGGUAGGUACAAAGGGCAGCUACACAGCGAUGUGAUGCUAAUCUCAAAAACCUAUCACAGUUCGGAUAGGAGUCUGCAACUCGACUCCUUGAAGCUGGAUUCGCUAGUAAUCGUAUAUCAGCAAUGAUACGGUGAAUACGUUCCCGGGCCUUGUACACACCGCCCGUCAAGCCAUGGAAGUUAGGGGUACCUAAAGUACGUA
rnacentral:rRNA from 1 species